rnacentral:rRNA from 1 species
UACGAAGGGGGCUAGCGUUGCUCGGAAUUACUGGGCGUAAAGCGCACGUAGGCGGCUUCUUAAGUCGGUGGUGAAAUCCUGGAGCUCAACUCCAGAACUGCCUUCGAUACUGGGAGCUCGAGUCCGGGAGAGGUGAGUGGAACUGCGAGUGUAGAGGUGAAAUUCGUAGAUAUUCGCAAGAACACCAGUGGCGAAGGCGGCUCACUGGCCCGGUACUGACGCUGAGGUGGCGAAAGCGUG